GCUUUUAUAGCUCAGUUGGUUAGAGCACCCAUUUAGUAAGCAGGAGGGAUUGAGUUUGACUCUCUAUGAAAGCA
rnacentral:tRNA from 1 species